CCUACGGGAGGCAGCAGUAGGGAAUAUUGCUCAAUGGGGGAAACCCUGAAGCAGCAACGCCGCGUGGAGGAUGAAGGUUUUCGGAUUGUAAACUCCUUUUGUUAGAGAAGAUAAUGACGGUAUCUAACGAAUAAGCACCGGCUAACUCCGUGCCAGCAGCCACGGUAAUACGGAGGGUGCAAGCGUUACUUGGAAUCACUGGGCGUAAAGAGCACGUAGGCGGGUUAGCAAGUCAGAUGUGAAAUCCUAUGGCUUAACCAUAGAACUGCAUUUGAAACUGUUAGUCUAGAGUAUGGUAGAGGGAGGUGGAAUUCGAGGUGUAGAGGUAAAAUCCGUAGAGAUCUAGAGGAAUACUGGUUGCGAAGGCGACCUCCUAGAACAAGACUGACGCUGAUGCGCGAAAGCGUGGGGAGCAAACAGGAUUAGAUACCCCGGUAGUC
rnacentral:rRNA from 1 species